GACGGAGGGUGCAAGCGUUGUUCGGAUUGACUGGGCGUAAAGGGCGUGUAGGCGGUUGGUCAAGUCUGGUGUGAAAGCCCGGGGCUUAACCCCGGAAGUGCGCUGGAAACUAGCCAGCUAGAGCGCGAGAGAGGAGGGUGGAAUUCCUGGUGUAGCGGUGAAAUGCGUAGAUAUCAGGAGGAACACCGGCGGCGAAGGCGGCCCUCUGGCUCGUUGCUGACGCUGAAACGCGAAAGCGUGGGAGCAACAGG
rnacentral:rRNA from 1 species